GUAGUCCACGCCCUAAACGAUGUCAACUAGUUGUUGGGGAUUUACUUCCUUGGUAACGUAGCUAACGCGUGAAGUUGACCGCCUGGGGAGUACGGCCGCAAGGUUAAAACUCAAAGGAAUUGACGGGGACCCGCACAAGCGGUGGAUGAUGUGGAUUAAUUCGAUGCAACGCGAAAAACCUUACCUACCCUUGACAUGGCAGGAACUUUCCAGAGAUGGAUUGGUGCUCGAAAGAGAACCUGCACACAGGUGCUGCAUGGCUGUCGUCAGCUCGUGUCGUGAGAUGUUGGGUUAAGUCCCGCAACGAGCGCAACCCUUGUCAUUAGUUGCUACGAAAGGGCACUCUAAUGAGACUGCCGGUGACAAACCGGAGGAAGGUGGGGAUGACGUCAAGUCCUCAUGGCCCUUAUGGGUAGGGCUUCACACGUCAUACAAUGGUCGGUACAGAGGGUUGCCAAGCCGCGAGGUGGAGCCAAUCCCAGAAAACCGAUCGUAGUCCGGAUCGCAGUCUGCAACUCGACUGCGUGAAGUCGGAAUCGCUAGUAAUCGCGGAUCAGAAUGCCGCGGUGAAUACGUUCCCGGGUCUUGUACACACCGCCCGUC
rnacentral:rRNA from 1 species